rnacentral:rRNA from 1 species
AUUGAACGCUGGCGGCAUGCCUAACACAUGCAAGUCGAGCGGAGCGGCGGACGGGUGAGUAAUGCCUAGGAAUCUGCCUGGUAGUGGGGGAUAACGUCCGGCAACGGGCGCUAAUACCGCAUACUAUCAGAUUAGCCUAGGUCGGAUUAACUAGUUGGUGGGGUAAAGGCCUACCAAGGCGACGAUCCGUAACUGGUCUGAGAGGAUGAUCAGUCACCCGGGAACGGGGAAACGGUCCAAACUCCUACGGGAGGCAGCAGUGGGGAAUAUUGGACAAUGUGCGAAAGCCUGAUCCAGCCAUGCCGCGUGUGUGAAGAAGGUUUUCGGAUUGUAAAGCACUUUAAGUUGGGAGGCGGUACCGACAGAAUAAGCACCGGCUAACUUCGUGCCAGCAGCCGCGGUAAUUC